rnacentral:lncRNA from 1 species
GCAUUCAUAAUGUUUAAUUCAUGUUCACUACACAGUGCAUAUACAAACUAUUGCACUCUUCUAUUCUUCACAAGAUGUCAUUCAUCCAUACAUUCAUUCAACAUAUAUACAAAUUCAUUUGUUUUCUUUGCUCAAGUUAGCUACAACCAUCGAGGAAAUACAUAAGUUGAUAUAUAAGACAAGUUGCACAAUUUGAUGGUAAGAUCCUAAGAGAACAAAUGUUUGAUCACUUGACUACUACAAAAUAUUAUGAAACAAACCAAGUUUUCAAUCGCCAUGCCAACAUCAACUUCCGUAUCAACAAAAGGUGUCAACCAUGCUAUUUUCUGCCAUUGUUCUCUGCAAAAUAAUUUACUGCCUUGUUGGAUAAAAGCACCAAAUAGUCAUAAAAGAGGGAAGAACUGUACACACUCUAUAGAGUAAAAAAUAUAUCAUGGCAUGUCACCUUUGAAGAAACCAAUGAAGCUCUAUUGCCAGGUAUAAUAACAAAUAACAACAGGAGAAGAACUAAUGUUUGAAGCAAUAAGGGACAUACUUGGUCUAGCUUAAUGUAAAGUAUCCAGUAGUUUCUGCAUAAGGCAUAACAAAUAUGGAUGUAAGCUGGCACAUAUGCGAGCGUAUAAAACAUAAACAUGCCAAAUUAUUUUAUGAUGUAAAUAAGUAGCGUGUGAUCCGAAAUAUAUACCAGUAUAUGUUAGCAAUGCAAAUAAUAUAGUUUUCAGAAUCUAAAAAGCACGCAGACGAGGACAGAAAGACCGGGAUACACAUACGGGGGCAAAGGAUACAACAUUUUCCAAAACAGCCAUACGGGGAUACAACGCGUAUAUAUAUAUAAUAAAAUAAUAAUAUGACAUAUAAUAUAGUGUCAAGACAAAAGUUAAUGAGAAAGAUAUCACAAUAGAGAAUAUUGUCCUAUUUGGUGUCUCUUUUAUCAAGUGCGAUUGGUCCUCGUCCUCCCAUGCCAUGGUACCUAACAACAAGGAGUACAAGCAGCAAGCAUUCAUCAAUUGUUGUCCAUGUUCAAUACCAGCACAAGCAUUCAACUAGCAACUAGAAACUAGCAAACAUGUAGCAACAUGCAACAAAUAGUAGGUCAGCGGCAGCAGUAGGCCAGCAACAUAAGCAUUCAAAGAGCGGCAUGACUACUAUAAGCAUUCAAAGACCAUCAAGCACAACAUCCAACAACUUUAUGGAAGAGAUCGGAAUAAAAGAGAUGAAGAAGUCCAGGAGAGAUUGCUGUAUUUAGGAAUUUGGGAGGGUUACCUACCAUUGGUAGGAGAGGUCAUUGCUUGCCCGUCCAAGGGUAGUAGUCACCGGUCAAGUAUAUGAUAAUAAUACAAUGUCAUUCUUGACAUGACUGGUGACCCUAUUUUGGAUGGUUAAAUAUGUAAAUAGCAAGCAAACAUAAAAGGAACAAGGAAAGUAUCAAUGCAUUGUUUAUUUUGCAAUAUCAUGGCUGAAUAAAGAUAUUAAUUUUUGGACAACAAGCUUGAGGUGGUUGCUGCUCUUAAAUUGCCCAGUAAGAAAAUACAAGUAAAUGCUCUCUCAGAAGCUUAAGAUGUACAUUACAACUUCUAUUUGGAGACUAACUCGAAAUUCAACAUGUAUCAAACAGAAUAUGGUUCCUUUUCAUUGAUAGAGAAUGCUUUGAUUUCACUAUCAUUUGCAAACAUGUGCUCUCCUUUGUAGUCAUAUUUUACAUGCUUAUGUAUCUACAAUUUUUACACAAUUAUCUAUCAAAAGCAUGCAAAAAAAGACAAAAGAAAAAAUAUGAACAAAGUCCCAUACAAUCCAAGAUAUCACGUGACUUACUAAAGCACAACCUUCAUAGGAUUAUGAUUUAAGACAACCAGAACCUUGUGGGAGCGGUAAUUCUUCAUGCCUAGGAAGAAGUUGCGUCAUCAGAAGUGUCCAACUCCACAGUCACAAUGAAUUACUUGUUAAUGAAACAACAUGCGCGGUUGACAAAGAAGCUUGACCCAAAACUUACGAGUACACAAAAUUAGGAGAUGGCUGCAUUAUUUAUGUGCACAUGGUGGAGAGCUACACAAAUUCAGUAGUUAGACAAGGUGGAACAAAUGAUCUGCACUGUGUGAGAGUCUUCUCAUGGGUUGAACCGUUUUACUAUAAUUGUCCAGCUAUGUGUAGAUGGUGUGUGAUGUAAUGAGACAAGGGAACACACUGUUAGUUAUUCCCCAUUUGUCAACACUUAUUAUUGUAUCAUAGUGCCCUUGAUUUUUGGCCUACCCGUACUGAUCAUCGUAACUGAAUAUUGAAGUCCAUAGAUAUUUUAAACAUACUUAUCUAUUCUCCUGUUCUUCAACGUAAGAUAUCUAUAUUUUCCUUUCGCGCACACUAGCAUAGCGACAGAUUAAUUAAAUUGACCUGCAUUAUUUAGUGGCUACCAAUCAAACUGUCAAUAUAUAAAUUCCAUCGCGGAGAAUAAACAAGAGAAGGAAGUCAAGCACAUGGAUCCAGCCCACCAUUCAAAUACCCUACAAUCGCGGUGACCUUGCCAUGGAGCUCGUCUCGUCUUGCUAACUGCUCGCAUCAAUCCACUUCUAGUAGGGAUGAGAGACAUCGAUGAUGAUGUGGGCAUAUUAUUAUUAUCAUUUUCAAAACAUUAGGAACUAUCAUUAUUAGAGAUCAAUGUUCAUCAACUAUUAUUAUUUCUAGUAGGGAUGAACAUAUAUAUAAUGUAUAUUACCAUUUAAUGAAAUAAACAAGUAUUCAUCUUGCUGUAUUGCAGGGAGAGAGAUGCACACCUAUGAUGUAGCCACAGGAUACUGAAGACCAUCCGCCGCUGCGUAGACGGGGUCCAUGCGGACGUCCUGCUCAUG